CUGGUAGUGUGAACUAUGUGUAGAUUGCUUAUCAUUUAAAAUGCCUUAGUUGCUUUUUCAUUCAUACAAGAAGAGAUGUAGAUUGGCUAUUGCAUGUUAGCCAAUCAGAAUGCUUAGUAAUUAUAACUCCGCCUAAUGCAUGCUUUAUAGUGUAAGAACUCGCCUACUGUCUUUCAGUAGCUGCAGUAGAGUGAACUUAUGAUGUACUGCCUAGAUGAUGAUGA